GAUGAACGCUGGCGGCGUGCCUAAUACAUGCAAGUCGAGCGAACGGACGAGAAGCUUGCUUCUCUGAUGUUAGCGGCGGACGGGUGAGUAACACGUGGAUAACCUACCUAUAAGACUGGGAUAACUUCGGGAAACCGGAGCUAAUACCGGAGGAUAUUUUGAACCGCAUGGUUCAAAAGUGAAAGACGGUCUUGCUGUCACUUAUAGAUGGAUCCGCGCUGCAUUAGCUAGUUGGUAAGGUAACGGCUUACCAAGGCAACGAUGCAUAGCCGACCUGAGAGGGUGAUCGGCCACACUAGAACUGAGACACGGUCCAGACUCCUACGGGAGGCAGCAGUAGGGAAUCUUACGCAGUGGGCGGAAGCAUGACGGAGCAACGCCGCGUGAGUGAUGACGGUGUUCGGAUCGUAAAACUCUGUUAUUAGGGAAGAACAUAUGUGUAAGUAACUGUGCACAUCUUGACGGUACCUAAUCAGAAAGCCACGGCUAACUACGUG
rnacentral:rRNA from 1 species